rnacentral:rRNA from 1 species
ACUCCUACGGGAGGCAGCAGUGGGGAAUUUUGGACAAUGGGCGAAAGCCUGAUCCAGCCAUGCCGCGUGCAGGAUGAAGGCCUUCGGGUUGUAAACUGCUUUUGUACGGAACGAAACGGCCUUUUCUAAUAAAGAGGGCUAAUGACGGUACCGUAAGAAUAAGCACCGGCUAACUACGUGCCAGCAGCCGCGGUAAUACGUAGGGUGCAAGCGUUAAUCGGAAUUACUGGGCGUAAAGCGUGCGCAGGCGGUUAUGUAAGACAGUUGUGAAAUCCCCGGGCUCAACCUGGGAACUGCAUCUGUGACUGCAUAGCUAGAGUACGGUAGAGGGGGAUGGAAUUCCGCGUGUAGCAGUGAAAUGCGUAGAUAUGCGGAGGAACACCGAUGGCGAAGGCAAUCCCCUGGACCUGUACUGACGCUCAUGCACGAAAGCGUGGGGAGCAAACAGGAUUAGAUACCCCAGUAGUCCCAUGAU